GCCGAGAUGUUUGAGUUCACCUUUGCCUCUGCGAGUCUGCAUUUGGGCUCCUUUCUACCAGCCACAAACAGCAAACCUGACAGUGAGACACACUUAAAAGCAGCAGAUGGUUCUCCGGUGUUGUUGGGAGAAAACAAUCCUAACGGUGGCCUUCUCCGCUUGCAUGGACAUGGCUCUCAUACCGACAGUCUAAAGGGAAAACGUACUAAAAGCAAUUUCAAAACUUGGACUCAACCCCAUGCUGUCUGCUUAAGUUAUUGUGGAAUUACAAGGAAAUGUAACUGCUUGGCCGUCAAUUAUAUUGGAGCAUCUAAAACUAUUAAAUAUUCCUUCAUGCAACCCACCUCCUCCCCAUCUCUGUGUCUCCCAUGUUACUCAGGCUUCAUCCAAGCCUCCAUCUUUAUCUCCACUACCAGCGUCUAGACGCCGGGGGUCCUUCCCUAGUUCCUAUCGCCACAGUGAUUCUGUUCUGCUGUGAAGGGCCACUGGAUUUAUUAAAUUCUGUAUAUCAAUAAAUCAUGUUUGGUUCCUUCUAACGAGCUCUCUUUAUUGAAAUUGACCUAAAUGUAAAAUCUGAAAAAUUUAUAUGAUUUCACCUUUGAUCCAUCUAUCAACACUGUACGCGCAGUUUAGAAUAUUUUGCAGAGUAAAGGGACACUAAACGAAGAAAAUGUGUGGACCCAAAAGCAGACACAGGAGAGAGAAAA